GAUGAACGCUAGCUACAGGCUUAACACAUGCAAGUCGAGGGGAAACGACAUCGAAAGCUUGCUUUUGAUGGGCGUCGACCGGCGCACGGGUGAGUAACGCGUAUCCAACCUGCCCAUCACUUGGGGAUAACCUUGCGAAAGUAAGACUAAUACCCAAUGAUAUCUCUAGAAGACAUCUGAAAGAGAUUAAAGAUUUAUCGGUGAUGGAUGGGGAUGCGUCUGAUUAGCUUGUUGGCGGGGUAACGGCCCACCAAGGCAACGAUCAGUAGGGGUUCUGAGAGGAAGGUCCCCCACAUUGGAACUGAGACACGGUCCAAACUCCUACGGGAGGCAGCAGUGAGGAAUAUUGGUCAAUGGGCGAGAGCCUGAACCAGCCAAGUAGCGUGCAGGAAGACGGCCCUAUGGGUUGUAAACUGCUUUUAUAAGGGAAGAAAGUGAGAGUCGUGACUCUUUUUGUAUGUACCUUAUGAAUAAGGACCGGCUAAUUCCGUG
rnacentral:rRNA from 1 species